rnacentral:SRP_RNA from 1 species
GCUGGGCGUGGUGGUGGGCGCCUGUAAUCCCAGCUACUCGGGAGGCUGAGGCAGGAGAAUCGCUUGAACCCGGGAGGCGGAGUUUGCAGUGAGCCGAGAUUGAGCCACUGCACACUCCAGCCUGGGCAACAAGAGCGAGACUCAGUCUCAG